rnacentral:rRNA from 1 species
GGGUUGUGAGGUUAAGCGACUAAGCGUACACGGUGGAUGCCCUGGCAGUCAGAGGCGAUGAAGGGCGUGCUAAUCUGCGAUAAGCGCCGGUAAGGUGAUAUGAACCGUUAUAACCGGCGAUACCCGAAUGGGGAAACCCAGUGUGAUUCGUCACACUAUCAUUAACUGAAUCCAUAGGUUAAUGAGGCGAACCGGGGGAACUGAAACAUCUAAGUACCCCGAGGAAAAGAAAUCAACCGAGAUUCCCCCAGUAGCGGCGAGCGAACGGGGAGGAGCCCAGAGCCUGAAUCAGCAUGUGUGUUAGUGGAAGCGUCUGGAAAGGCGCGCGAUACAGGGUGACAGCCCCGUACACAAAAGCGCAUGUGCUGUGAGCUCGAUGAGUAGGGCGGGACACGUGGUAUCCUGUCUGAAUAUGGGGGGACCAUCCUCCAAGGCUAAAUACUCCUGACUGACCGAUAGUGAACCAGUACCGUGAGGGAAAGGCGAAAAGAACCCCGGCGAGGGGAGUGAAAAAGAACCUGAAACCGUGUACGUACAAGCAGUGGGAGCACCCUUUGGGUGUGACUGCGUACCUUUUGUAUAAUGGGUCAGCGACUUAUAUUCUGUAGCAAGGUUAACCGAAUAGGGGAGCCGGAGGGAAACCGAGUCUUAACCGGGCGUUAAGUUGCAGGGUAUAGACCCGAAACCCGGUGAUCUAGCCAUGGGCAGGUUGAAGGUUGGGUAACACUAACUGGAGGACCGAACCGACUAAUGUUGAAAAAUUAGCGGAUGACCUGUGGCUGGGGGUGAAAGGCCAAUCAAACCGGGAGAUAGCUGGUUCUCCCCGAAAGCUAUUUAGGUAGCGCCUCGUGAAUUCAUCUCCGGGGGUAGAGCACUGUUUCGGCUAGGGGGCCAUCCCGGCUUACCAACCCGAUGCAAACUGCGAAUACCGGAGAAUGUUAUCACGGGAGACACACGGCGGGUGCUAACGUCCGUCGUGAAGAGGGAAACAACCCAGACCGCCAGCUAAGGUCCCAAAGUCAUGGUUAAGUGGGAAACGAUGUGGGAAGGCCCAGACAGCCAGGAUGUUGGCUUAGAAGCAGCCAUCAUUUAAAGAAAGCGUAAUAGCUCACUGGUCGAGUCGGCCUGCGCGGAAGAUGUAACGGGGCUAAACCAUGCACCGAAGCUGCGGCAGCGACACUGUGUGUUGUUGGGUAGGGGAGCGUUCUGUAAGCCUGUGAAGGUGUGUCGUGAGGCAUGCUGGAGGUAUCAGAAGUGCGAAUGCUGACAUAAGUAACGAUAAAGCGGGUGAAAAGCCCGCUCGCCGGAAGACCAAGGGUUCCUGUCCAACGUUAAUCGGGGCAGGGUGAGUCGACCCCUAAGGCGAGGCCGAAAGGCGUAGUCGA